rnacentral:rRNA from 1 species
GCAGAGCAUCCUACGGGAGGCAGCAGUGGGGAAUAUUGCACAAUGGGCGCAAGCCUGAUGCAGCCAUGCCGCGUGUAUGAAGAAGGCCUUCGGGUUGUAAAGUACUUUCAGCAGUGAGGAAGGUGGGUAUGUUAAUAGCAUAUUCAUUUGACGUUAGCUGCAGAAGAAGCACCGGCUAACUCCGUGCCAGCAGCCGCGGUAAUACGGAGGGUGCGAGCGUUAAUCGGAAUUACUGGGCGUAAAGCGCAUGCAGGUGGUUUGUUAAGUCAGAUGUGAAAGCCCGGGGCUCAACCUCGGAAUUGCAUUUGAAACUGGCAAACUAGAGUACUGUAGAGGGGGUAGAAUUUCAGGUGUAGCGGUGAAAUGCGUAGAGAUCUGAAGGAAUACCGGUGGCGAAGGCGGCCCCCUGGACAGAUACUGACACUCAGAUGCGAAAGCGUGGGGAGCAAACAGGAUUAGAUACCCCGGUAG